CUUCUCUAUUUACAUAAACGACUUACCUAACCACUUAUCCUCCUCUACUGGGGUCGGUUUGUUCGCUGAUGACACCAAACUCUAUAAAGUCGUGCAGAACCCUUCUGAUGCCUUGGUUUUACAAGAAGAUAUACGGAGUCUCCAAUCUUGGUCAGAGGAAAACAGGUUGCGUUUUAACAAUUCUAAGUGUAAAGUACUUUCUAUCACAAGGAAAUCAUCUCCGCUAAUCACUUCGUAUAGUCUUGACGGUCAACAACUGGCUUUGUCUAACACUGAAAUUGAUCUAGGCGUCGUUAUGAAUUCCAACCUAACCUGGAUCAAUCAAG